CAUUACCAUAAGCCACCAGAAGGUUGGGAUCUGCAUGAACAUCAACCAAAACCUGGCAAAAGAUAAAGAAGAGAUGAUAUGAAAUACUACUGCAUGCAAUGUUUGCUUAGUUGCCCAAUCAAUGAUAUUGCAUGCAAGGAGCAUAUGUCAAGGUCCACAAUCAUGAUGGGCUAUAUCCAGGUUUAAACCUGAUAAAAUGGCUGAUUAGAACCCCGUGACAACUUUUCAACUUGAGCAGUUUCCAUCCAUGAACUUGAUUCACAGCACACUGGAUCCAUUCCACAAACCACAGCCCUAUAGCC